rnacentral:lncRNA from 1 species
CUAUUUAAAAAUCUACAAACUCACUAGAGCAAAAGGUUAGUAAAUAACAAAGCGAAGCUUUUUGCUCUAGCUCUAAUGAGGUGUUUGCAGGCCACCGAACCAACAAUUCUAGUUUGCUAUAAUCACUAGGCACACAAGAGUUAUGUCACUACAAGCUACACUAGUGAACUAUGCUACACAAGGCAAAGUAAGCAACUAAACUAAUUACACUACUUUGCGGUAAGUAAAGGAUAGGAUGAGAUAUUUAUACCGCCGUGUAGGGGAUGAACCAAUCACCAAUAUAAACAAUCAAGCACCGAGAGAAUGCCAAUCAAACACAAUUGAGACACCAAUUUUUCUCUCGAGGUUCACAUGCUUGUCGGCACGCUACGUUCCUGUUGUGUCGACCAACGCUUGGUGGUUUGGCGGCUAAGAGGUGUAGCACGAACCUCGUCCUCACUAGAACACCGCAAGACCCGACCCACAAGUGUGGUAACUCAAUGAAACGAGCAAUCCACUAGAGUUACCUUUCGGCUCUCCGCCAGGGAAGGUACAAGACCCCUCACAAUCACUGGGAGAUAGCCACGAACAAUCACCAAAAUGCUCCUCCGCUGCUCCAAGAUGUCUAGGUGGCGGCAACCACCAAGAGUAACAAGAAAACCGCAGCUAGAACGAUCCCCAAGUGCCACUAGAUGCAAUUACUCAAGCAAAUGUACUUGGAAUCACUCCCAAUCUCACAAAGAUGUGUGGGAGGUGUUUGCUUAGGCUCACAAGGAUGUCAAGUAUGCUAGAAUGCCAAAGGGGUAAGCCCUAAGCCGGCCAACACGUAUUUAUAAGCCCCUCAAAUAAAUAGAGCCGUUGGCUCUUUCACUGGGCAAAACUCGGGAUCACCGGACGCACUGCAGGUGAGGCACCGGACGCUGGAACAGAGCGUCCGGUGCUCCAAAAGCAGCCAUGUGUCAGCUCUCUGAAACUCACGCGUCAAACUCUAACGGUCACUUGCAGAGCACCGGACGCGGUUAAGUUGGCACCGAACACGUCUGGUGCACACCGGUCUUAAACUCAAGGAGGUUCGCAAAAUGCGUAGGGCACCGGACUCUCUUCACCGGAUGCACCCUUAGCGUCCGGUCCCUUACCUAGAGAGGUUUGCAAAACACGCGGACACCGAACGCACACCACCGGACGCACCUUGAGCGUCCGGUGCUCUCAGUCAGAGACUCUUGCAGAAGUCAGGCAGCACCAGACGCACAAACAAGAUCAAGCCCGCGUCCAGUGUCUGGCGUCCGGUGCCUAACCCUGGCUGAGCCAAGCACUACCUGCACACCGGACGCAUAGACACAGCGUCCGGUGCCUCCACGGCCAGCGUCCGGUGUUGUCACCCAUCUAGCCUCUUGGCCACGUUGCAACCAUGAGCAUAGGGGAACGCUUUGUGUCUUGUACUGCCCUCAUGUUCUGCUGAAAGGUCCUAAUACAGCUAGAGAGGGGUGAAUAGCCUAUUUAAAAAUCUACAAACUCACUAGAGCAAAAGGUUAGUAAAUAACAAAGCGAAGCUUUUUGCUCUAGCUCUAAUGGGGUAUUUGCAGGCCACCUAACCAACAAUUCUAGUUUGCUAUAAUCACUAGGCACACAAGAGUUAUGUCACUACAAGCUACACUAGUGAACUAUGCUACACAAGGCAAAGUAAGCAACUAAACUAAUUACACUACUUUGCGG